rnacentral:rRNA from 1 species
GACGAACGCUGGCGGCGUGCCUAAUACAUGCAAGUAGAACGCACAGUUUAUACCGUAGCUUGCUACACCAUAAACUGUGAGUUGCGAACGGGUGAGUAACGCGUAGGUAACCUGCCUGGUAGCGGGGGAUAACUAUUGGAAACGAUAGCUAAUACCGCAUAAUAUUGAUUAUUGCAUGAUAAUUGAUUGAAAGAUGCUAUUGCAUCACUACCAGAUGGACCUGCGUUGUAUUAGCUAGUAGGUGAGGUAACGGCUCACCUAGGCGACGAUACAUAGCCGACCUGAGAGGGUGAUCGGCCACACUGGGACUGAGACACGGCCCAGACUCCUACGGGAGGCAGCAGUAGGGAAUCUUCGGCAAUGGACGAAAGUCUGACCGAGCAACGCCGCGUGAGUGAAGAAGGUUUUCGGAUCGUAAAGCUCUGUUGUAAGAGAAGAACGGGUGUGAGAGUGGAAAGUUUGCACUGUGACGGUAUCUUACCAGAAAGGGACGGCUAACUACGUG